rnacentral:lncRNA from 1 species
AUGCCCAGGGUAUGUGGGCGGGGGGCGGGGAAGGAGGGUUGCGGUGGAGAAGGAGGGGCCGGAGGCGGCAGCUCCUUUGCUCUCGGCCCUGCCCACGAGGGGCCACUCCUCCUCUUCCUUUCCUUUCCUCCCUUCCUUUUCCUUUUUCUUCUGGGGAGCUGCCGCAGGCUGGGGACGGUAGGAGGGCCCGAGUUACUUGGAGGAGACGCAGAUGGCUGUGGGCUAAUUCCUGAAGUGCCCCGGCUCCCCGGCUGGCAUCCUGCACAGGGCUACAGCUCAGCCCCCCUCGUCUAUCUGAACCCACCCCAGUGGCACCAGCCCAUACCCGUGACUUUACUGUCUGAAGAGCUCAGUUAUUGCUGUGACCCGAAGUUGUCAUAG